CGGACCUCAGAUCAGGCAAGACCACCCGCUGAGUUUAAGCAUAUCACUAAGCGGAGGAAAAGAAACUAACAAGGAUUUCCCUAGUAACGGCGAGCGAAC
rnacentral:rRNA from 5 species